GUUUCCUCUUCAGUCACACAAACACCAGGAGACACAAACACAGACACUGUCAGAGCGACUUUACCAGCAGUAACAGUCAUGAGUUCAGCUCUGUAUCUGGUCCUGCUUUUCUCAGCUCUGUGGACUCUCUCC